rnacentral:lncRNA from 1 species
CCCAAGGCGGCACGGACGGCGACCAGGCGAGCGCGCCGCCGCCAACCUCUUCCUCUUCUCCCCUCCACCUUGCCGCCGCUCGAGCACCCGCCGGCAAAGCCGGGGGGACGCAAUGAUAGCGGCGGCGAGGCUCCCUACCUCCUCUCGCGGGCGCGGCGGCAGGGUCGAUACCAUGAUCGGAGGGAGGUCUCGCGGGUGCGGCGGUCGCCGGCGGCCAGAUCCGGCGACCGGAUCCGGUCCCCACACGGCUGGAUCGGGCGCCUCAGCCGGUGGCGACAGGAAAGAGGCGCGUGCCCAACGAGGAGCGCGGAAGAGGUGGCGGAUGUGGCGACGUGCGAGGAGGACGACGUUCGCGCGCAGGCCGGUAGCACUCCCGUCACCGGCGGCCCAGGCUCCCGUCCAGAUCCGGGCCGGGCGAGGCGCUGGGAGGUGGCGGCUGGCGGCUGGGGAGAGGUUAACGCCGGGGCUGGAGAGGGUGCGGAGACCGGCGGCAGGCAGGGGCGGCUUCGCGGUGGGCAGCAGCGGCUCGCACUGAGGUCGCGGUGUCGACGGGAGGUCGGCACCGGUGCUGGAGACGACGCGGAGACGGUGGCAGGCAGGGGCGGCGUCACGGUGGGCGGGCAGCGGCGGCUCGCUCGCGCCGGUUGCGGCGUCGGCGUCGGUGUCCGUCCGCGCGGGGUCACGGCGGUGGCACUGCACAAGCAGAGACUGUGGCGGCGUGGUGGUCGCGACGACGAUGGAGCUGCAGUGGCGCGGACGUCGAGCCGGCUUGCGCCGCCCUAG